rnacentral:rRNA from 1 species
UAAAAAAUACUUAUCUAUGGUAUAGUUUUCCCGAAUCUAGAAGAGCUACCUUAAUAUUCUUUUGUUGUAGCAUAACCAUUGGUAAUAUUGGGGUUGAAAUGAAACGUUAUUCGUUUCUGGAUAUAUCUGGUUUUCUAAGAAACAAAUUUAAUUUGGCUAAUUUUAAAUUUUUAAUCUAUUUGGGUGAUUAAAUGUUUUGAAUUAUCUAAUGGCUUGGGGGAUGAGCUUUAGGCUUUAAUUUUAAAAGUUUAAUUUUAAUAGUAAGGUUAGUAGGAUUGGAAGUUUCUAUCUGGGGAGAAUGUUAUAUUUGACGUUAAUUUAUUAUAUUAUUUUUAUUUUCUUUAAAUUUUUUAUUAGAAUUUAAUUUUUAAUUUUGAUUGGUUAGUAAUUAUGAUUGAAUUAGUAUAUGUUUUUGUUCAAUAAAGAAUAAUGGUUGAGGUUAUAUAAAGGAACUCGGCAAAAUGUCUUUUCGCCUGUUUACUAAAAACAUGGCCUUUUGAUUAUAAUUUAAGGUCGCGCCUGCCCACUGAGUAUUUAAAUGGCCGCGGUACUCU